rnacentral:rRNA from 1 species
UUAGUUUGAUCCUGGCUCAGAACGAACGCUGGCGGCGUGCUUAAUACAUGCAAGUCGUGCGAGAAAGUUUCCUUCGGGAAGCGAGUAAAGCGGCGAACGGGUGCGUAACACGUGGGCAACCUGCCCUCGAGAUGGGGAUAAGCCUUCGAAAGAGGGUCUAAUACCGAAUAACAUCGUUAUUUGACAUCAUUUGACGAUCAAAGGUGGCUUCGGCUACCACUCGAGGAUGGGCCCGCGUUCCAUUAGCUUGUUGGUGAGGUAACGGCUCACCAAGGCUCUGAUGGAUAGCCGACCUGAGAGGGUGAUCGGCCACACUGGGACUGAGAUACGGCCCAGACUCCUACGGGAGGCAGCAGUAGGGAAUUUUGCGCAAUGCCCGAAAGGGUGACGCAGCAACGCCGCGUGGAGGAUGAAGCAUCUUGGUGCGUAAACUCCUGUCAGUUGGGACGAACCGUCUUGGCUCUAAUAUAGCCAAGGCCUGACGGUACCUUCAGAGGAAGCUCCGGCCAACUCCGUGCCAGCAGCCGCGGUAACACGGGGGGAGCAAGCGUUGUUCGGAAUUACUGGGCGUAAAGGGUACGCAGGCGGGAAAGCAGGUCAGAUGUGAAAUCCCAUGGCUCAACUAUGGGUCUGCAUCUGAAACCUCUUUUCUUGAGUAUCGGAGAGGAUAGCGGAACUCCUGGUGUAGCGGUGAAAUGCGUAGAUAUCAGGAGGAACACCGGUGGCGAAGGCGGCUAUCUGGCCGAAUACUGACGCUCAUGUACGAAGGCCGGGGGAGCAAACAGGAUUAGAUACCCUGGUAGUCCCGGCAGUAAACGAUGGGUACUAGGUGUUGGGGGAGUCGACCCCCUCAGUGCCGCAGUAAACGCAUUAAGUACCCCGCCUGGGGAGUACGACCGCAAGGUUGAAACUCAAAGGAAUUGACGGGGGCCCGCACAAGCAGUGGAGCAUGUGGUUUAAUUCGACGCAACGCGAAGAACCUUACCUGGGCUUGAAAUGUACAGGAAACUCUCAGAGAUGAGAGCCCCCCGCAAGGGGUCUGUUCACAGGUGCUGCAUGGCUGUCGUCAGCUCGUGCCGUGAGGUGUUGGGUUAAGUCCCGCAACGAGCGCAACCCCUGUCCUUAGUUGCCAGCAAUUCGGUUGGGGACUCUAAGGAGACUGCCGGUGACAAGCCGGAGGAAGGUGGGGAUGACGUCAAGUCCUCAUGGCCCUUACGUCCAGGGCUACACACGUGCUACAAUGGCUGUUACAGAGGGUCGCAAGACCGCAA